rnacentral:rRNA from 1 species
UAGUACAAACAAACAAACAAACAAACAAACGGGGUCCCGUCUGCUCCCCCUUAGUCAAGCCAUAGAGCGCUGGAUCAGUAGUACGGUGGGUGACCACGUGCGAAUACCCAGUGUUGUACUUC